AAUUUAAAAAAUUUUCUUCAUGGAUUACAGUAGCAGUAACCCAUUUUUGACCUUUAUGUGUUUUCAGUGUGGGGAAUGGAUGAAGAGUUUGAACAGCCUGGGUUUAAAUACUGGAUCUAGGAUUCCUUACAGAGUGUGUGACUGGCCAGAGGUCCUGACACCUUUAAGACUCAAAUGGAAACACAGCAUCUACUAUCUAUGGAAGAUUUCUUGUGAAGAUGAAAUAAUACUGGUUAUGACACAGGAACAUGUGAGGUCCUAAAAUUACAUUCGUUAGACAUGUGUCAUUUCUUUCAGCACUAUGACUUAGUCUUGGAUUCUGUGCUUUCCAAUGGAGGAAGAUGCAUCUGAAUUGCUCUUUGCAGAAGCCCAAAGUCACAUCUGCUGCCCCAGUGCCUGGGGAAUACUUGGUGACAACAGCUUGGUCAAUGUCUCCAUGACAGGGACCCCUAGCCACAUUGCUUAAACAUUUGCAUGAACUUGACUUUAAAUGUCCUAGCUUGCUUUGCUCAGGAAACCUAAUGAAAAAGACACAUUAAACAAAGGCAUGCUUUGCAGACAGGACACAAGACUGUGGCUUUGUAUUCCUUUUGUAUUAAUGUUUAUUGUGAACAGAACCCAGCCUCUCUCUAGAUGGCAUUUUCUGCUCAUGUGUCACAGCAUGACAGGCUCUGAAGGCUGCAUCUCCUUCCCAUUCUUAGCUCAUUAUAAGGUGGGGUGAACAGAAGGAUGAAGGGUUUUGUGGCUGUGAUUUAUGCGUGAGGAGCAGAGGUGGAUGUUAAGUCCCUCACCUGAUAUUUAAAUCUAAGGCUACCAGGGAACUAAACAGGAGAAAGAAAAUAACAGGUGACGUUAUAAACAUAGCCAGUAUCAAAUAAACUUUGAAAGAUCUCUCUGGAAAUGCUGUUA
ensembl:lncRNA